UUACGGCCAUAUCACGUUGAAACAUUGGUUCCCAUACAAUAACCGAAGUUAAGCAAGGUCGAGCCUGGUCAAUACCGUGAUGGGCGAUCGCUUGGGAAUGCCAGGUGCUGUAAG